CGAAGCAAAGCGUCUCACUGAGCAUUUACGUGUCUACAGCUUUGCACAAGCUGCCAUGCCUCCACAACAUGGCUGUGUGGACUAAGCAGGAAGCGUAGCCAGGACACACACACACGCGCAUGCGUGUGCGCGCGCGCCAGAUAUCUUCAGAAACAGAAAUCUGCUCUACCCCCUGGAAGACAGCGUACAUGGGGAGGAGACAUGCGUCCUUUCUGCUCCCAUCCCCAGCUGCUCGCCAUGCUGGGCUGGCACAUGCCAGCACAGAACUAAUGCAAAGAUUAAGGUAAUGGGGGCUGAGUUUAACCCAUUUACCAGGAGCAUUAGCUUACUUGGCGAUUAGCAGUGUAGGGAUCAUGCUAAAUGGCUUAGCUAUUCCCAGCUCCCUCUCCUCUGGCAGGUCCUGAAGAGUUAGUGUGGAGAGGUAUCCAGCAGUGAUAACAGGACAUUAGCAAAGCUUACCUCUCUAAGUUGUCCAGUUCCACAUCCUUUCCCAUGUUUAGUGCUCUAUGUGCCAGUGCAAUCACUCUGAAACCUUGGGUCGUGUAAACCUUAAGCUCCUUUAUGAAAUCAAUUGGGACUGUUUAGAGGAGAAAAGAAUAUGUGGGCAAGUCUUAUGGUUUAAGUGACUUAAAGAACAUCCAGUCUUUGGUUCUUUUCUUCUAUGGCUUAAUCUGUGCAUAUUACAUGCUCAUCAUUUACCAAUACCACGUUCUUUCUCAGCAAAUGAUCAGCUGUUUUUAAUCCAAAGGCUCUGGAGCUGAUAACUAGAUUUGAAUAUUUCAAACAACUGGACUACGAGUUUGUUUUAUGCUUUAAAAAGUAUGUAAAGUACAAGGAGGUCUUGUGGUUAGAGUAGUUCCUGUUCUAACCACAGGGCCUCCUUGCACUUUAAAUAAGGUCGAGGGAGUCUUGAACCUAGGCCUGCAGAGCAGCUAAGCAUCAAACAACCCUUUGUGCCAUCCAGCAAUAAUUAUAACCACUACCCAUGACCCGCUGUGGACACAGACCACAGGAAGUCUCAUCUCCAGGGGUCUGAGAGGUAGCAGCCUCGUGGCUCCUGUUUGGUAAAUCCAAGAGAUGACAGAGCGCUGUCUACACGGGGGGUUAGGUGCGUAUAACUGUCACUCAGGGGUGUCGAUUUUUCACACCCCCGAGUGGCACAGUUAUACCGUAUAGGUCUGUAGCACAGACCUGACCUUAGCAAAGACACAGCAUGGAGUUCCCUUCCACACAGACUGCCUGCCGCCUUGUUUCCAUCUGGUAAUGCUUCUCAAAGUGGGGACGGGAUUAGAAAAAGGAGCAGACGCCCCACGACACUCCCCUCUCUUUCCUGCCAAUCAUGUUCAGUGCAGCUCACGCGACAAAGCAUUUGUUGGACCCUGGGUGAAGGGUCCUGACCUGAGAAGUUUGGUCAGUGAGACAGCUGAACACGUGAGACUGUCCAGUUUGGCCGAUGUAUACUAUACUAUAGUAACUCUAGCUCAGGAACCAAUCCAUGCAACAAACCUUGAUGCCAACUCUACCCACAUAUCUACACCAGUGACAUCAUCACAGGACCUAACCAGAUCAGCCACACCAUCACUGGUUCAUUCACCUGCACGUCCACCAAUGCUCCAAAACAUCUGUUAGUCUAUAAGGUGCCACAAGAUUCUUUGCUGCUUUUACAGAUCCAGACUAACACGGUUACCCCUCUGAUAAUUUGAAAACUAUAACCAGGUGAUGUGAAUGCCUGUCUGAACAGGAGUCAUCCAUCUUCCACAUGGAGACCCUGAACUAUGAGUGAAUGACAGCUCGCCAUGGCUCCACACGGCAGUCCCCAAGGCAAAGGAGUACCAGAGGCAAAGCUGUAGACGUUCUGGAAACUGAUUUAAAACAGAGGGUAAUAUCUCUUAUUGGACCAAUUUCUUGUGGUGAAAGAGACACCCGGUGGCCAGAACCUGAAGAAAAGUUCUGUGUAAGAUCAAAAGCUUGUGUCUCUCAACAACAGAAGUUGCUCCAAUAAAAGAUAUUACUUCACCCGCCUUGUCUCUCUCAUAUCCUAGGACCAACACAGCUACAGGAACACUGAAUACAAAUUUAUUUGCAUGUGUAGCUCAUUUUGUUCUCCAUGUCACAUGAACAGACACUGAACUACACAGUUAACUCAAGUGAAAUAAUCAUGAGAUUAUUCAGGGCUAUUUUCCUUGUUGUGGUUUUUGAGCUUUCUGCCAAACAAAAUGUCCUGUCUGGAGAGAAUUGUGCAUGCAACCUCUAUUAGUUAAUGGCCAAGAGCCAAGUAGAGAUUGUAUUGCUAAAUACAGGAAAAUCUUACCAAAUAAUCCUUUAUUGGGUGGCAUUUGUUAAUUAAUGUUAUGUAAUGUGCAUCAGAUAUUAAUUUUCUCUCUGUCCUGUGAGAAACUUAGGGCUUGUCUACACUGGCACUGUACAUCGCUGCAGCUUUCUGGCUCACUCUGUCACUCAUCAUGAUACAAUUAUCUCCUCUGUGCCGAAGUACCUGAGAUGUUGGCAACCACUGCUAAAGUCUGGGAUGUUGAUAUAAUGCAUAUGCUGAUCCCCUGCGAAAGAUGAUGGGCAGCUAAUCUCUCCUCAAAUGUAUUUGAGCCCAAUGGAAUAUGCACAGUGCAAUGUGGGUUUUAAAUGAUUUUUUAUAGCCAUGGCAUGAACAAUAAACAGCUGAUUUUGGCUAUAAUCAACACCUUUUGCAAUUACACACCA